UUUUGUAUAUUGCACGUUGUUUUAAAUUUUUAUUUAUUAUUUAUUUAAUUUGUUUUUAAUUUAUGUUUCUUGCAGGUUUGUCUGCCGCAGUCGUCACAGCCGUAUUUUCUUCUUUCUCCGCAGUUGCAAUCGUCAGGAAUCACAGGAAAUGGUCAACCCAGCCAGGUUGUGCUUAGUUGGCUUUGGAUAAGGAUAUUGAUGGAUUUAGUGGCGCGCUGUCUGGAAUAUGAGGGACCAGUGAGGAUGGACAAAUCCCCCGCCGCAGUCGUCUAGGCUUGGACCAGAAGAAUUCGAUGGCUGUGUCAGAUAAGUUUAUGAUUUAAUUAUGUUUAUUGCGAGUUCAGUUUUAAAGAGUUUUUAAUUUUUAUUUCUCGCAGAUUUGUCCAUGGAAGCAGUCACGGAUUGUCGGAUGCCAAAAAGCCCUUUAAGGCUGGUAAGUAGCUUUUGGUCUAAGUUUGUUAAUUGUGUAUAUGUUAAUCGUUUUAAUUUUUUAUUAUAUCACAGGCGCAGCGGAAGAUUUUUUUUGUUGUUACUGGAUCAUAUUUGAGUCAGAUAAGUUUAUAGUAUAAUUUUUAUUUAAUGCGCAUUUAGCUUUUGUAAAUUUUUGUUUUUAUUUUAUUUUUAGCAGAUUCUUCCAUCGCAGCAGUCGGAGUUUGGAGGCCAAAAAUCAUUUUAUGCAGACGUAUCCCUCGCCGCAGUCGUGUUUACCAGGACCCUGGCAAGCCCAAGCGUGGUUCUGGCUGUGUGUUUGUAUGGAAUUUACUCGUCGCAGUUUUUAUGUGGUUGGGGUAGGCUUGUCCCUCGCCGCAGUCGUGUGGAAUUCCCUCGCCGCAGUCAAGGUGUGGUUGGGGUAGGAGAUGUAUCCCUCGCCGCAGUCGUGUGCACCUGAAGCCGGUCAGGAGCCCAAUUGGGUUCCAAUAAUGAGACUGUGUGGAAUUCCCUCGCCGCAGUCAAGGUGUAGGUUGGGGUAGGAAGUGAAUCCCUCGCCGCAGUCGUGUGCACCCGAAGCCGGGUAGGAGCCCAAAUGCGUUCCAAUAGUGUGUCUGUGUGGAAUUCCCUCGCCGCAGUCAAGGUGUGGUUGGGGUAGGAAAUGUAUCCCUCGCCGCAGUCGUGUGCACCCGAAGCCGGUCAGGAGUCCAAGCGUGGUUCAGACAAGUUCGUCCAUACGAGCAGAUUGAAGUCGUAGCGCCACCCCUCUCCGCAGCUUCAACCAUCAUGAAUCGCAAGGAUGUUCCACCAAUUAGGCUGACCCUAGCUGGCAGUAAGGAAGGGAAGAUACCCCGCUGCCGUCGCCUUUCUUUGGAUCAGAAAGGAGUCCAUCGGCUGUAUGCGCGCCUGUGUGUUCGCGCAGAGCGUGUCCCUCGCUGCAGUCGUGUCCGGAGAUCCUUGUAGGAGUUCGUUGCAUCAGUUUUCACCGUCAUGGUCAAUCAGAGGCGCGACCAAUCAGGCAGCGCGAGGCCUUUCCUAUGGCCAGGAAAGCUGUCAAGGCAGGAACUUAUGCUUGUGCAGAUCAGGCUUUUCAUCUAUAUGAGGUAUUACAGGUGAGUGCUUUGUCUGUCAAAUUUUAUUGGGUCUGUCUUGGUCCUUAAUGUCCUCUGCGUUUAUUGGAGAGUCGACUCUUGCAGCAAGGACACCAAGGGAAAGCUGUGGUUGACAAUGACCCUUAAUCGCGUUUCGUGUGUCUUGUUUAAUGUACCCAUUGCAUGCUUCAUUUUGGGAGAGUCAAUCGCAGCAAGGACCCCUUUUUGGGAGAGCUGCACAUGGCAAGGACCCCUUACUGUGAGCAGGCAUUUUGCGUUCUUUGCCUGGGCUUCGCAUUUUGGAGAGUCGACCCACACAGCAAGGACCCCAAAGGAGAGCUGUGGUCGAUAAGGACCCUUAAUCGUUUACAGUGGCAUGAAUGCUAUUUGUGUUUACUAUAGCUAAGGUUGGGAGAGCUAAUUGUGGUAAGGACCCCUUAUUGGGAGAGCCGCAGUUUGCAAGGACCCCCCAUUGUGAGCGUUGAAGACUUUUUUAAUUUUAUUUGCAACUUUGUUUCACUGUGUGAGAGAGUCAAUCUCCUUAGUAACAUCAGUAGAAACCCCUUUUGGCUCAGUUUAGGAGAGUCAAGUGCAGUAAGGACCCCUUAAUUUGGGAGAGCUGUGCAUGGCAAGGACCCUUUAUUAUGAGCAUCAUUUUGAUUUUUGAUUCAGUUCACGCGUCCAUGCGUCUGUGUAGAAUUCAUUCGCCGCACUCGGCGUGUGGUUGGGGUAGAUGUGUCCCUCGCCGCAGUCGUGUACGCCGGAAGCCGGGCAGAAGUCCAAGCAUGGUUUAGAUGGUCAUGUCCAGCCGGGCUCGUUUUUGUGAGCAGGAUCCAUUUGUGAAUUUUAUACGAGCAGUACAUGGCUCGGGAAGGCAGUUCAAGUCCUCCAGAAGAACGCAAGGACAGUUUGGAGUCGUCCAGGACAGGAGCAGGUGUUUGUGGAUAACUGGUAAUCUAUUGAUGAGCCCAUUUUUGAGUUUAAUUUUGACCCCUUUCCCCUUUUUAUUGUAUUUUUUUAAUUUGUUGAGUAGUAUAGGGUUUGUUGUCCUAUGUGGGUUUGAAAAUCAGGUAUAAUUAUCCUUAUGAUGCCGUGAGGUUGCCCUUCCAUUUUGUCAAGUAGUUCUUCUCGUGUUAUUCUUCCCUCUCUAAAAAGUUUAUUGUAUUUGUUAAUAAGCAUUUCACACCAUCUCUCUGGGGGUUUAGUUUUUAAUGCCUUUUUUCUCUCGUUUUUCUUUUUAAUCUCCUUUUCGUUUUCUUCUAGUUCCUCUCUCUCGUCUGUUAGUCGCAGUAAUGUAGGAAGACUUUUUCUAAAUUUUUCCCUUAAUUUAUUCAGUAUUUGUUUUUCCUCACUUUCCGUGUAACCGUAUGUGCUAUUGUAGGUGGGCUCUAUUGGUGGUUCAGGGAUAUUUGCUCUUGCUGAAGCAGGUAUUUUUGGUAUUGAUCUAGGUAUCUGGAUCUGCUCGCCGCUAGCCUUUUGGGGAUAUACGGUUUUAGGAUGAGAUCUCGUAUAAGUGGAUUUCUGUGGGUUGUUGUUGAGAUCGCAAACCUUUGGCUAGAAUGAGCAAAGACUUCUGAGAAAGAUUUGAUGUUGUGUAUUUCUCUGAUAGUGGAUUGUUUUGUGUACCUAGAUGCAUUAAUAGAUUUUCUUAUUAGCUUAUUCUCCACGGUUUGAAUUUGUUUGGCGCUUGUUUCUGAUAUUAAGGACCCCCAAACAGCUAUUGAGUAGUGCCAGAUGGGCGAUAUUAUUUGUUUAAAGAGAAGUGUUUUGGUGUUGUCAGGUAGUUUGCUUUUUUUGCCUAGUAGCCAUUCUAGUUUUUUAUAGCUUGAGAAGAUUUUUGCUCUUAAUUGUGAGACGUGUGAUUUAAGAGUAAGUUUUUUGUCCAAGAUAACCCCCAAGUAGCGUUGCUUGUUUUGUUUCAUUGUCCUUUGUCCGUCAACAAGUGGGGUAGUAUACGGGUGUUCCUUUCCCCUUAAGGAAAAUAGUAUGUGUCCCGUUUUUUUCGCGUUUAUUGAGAUAUCCCACUGUUUAGCCCAACUACAGUAUUUGCUGAGGUAUUUGUUGCUCAGCUCAGUGGCUGUGUUUGCUGUUGAAGCCCUGCUGAGGAUGACGGUGUCGUCUGCGUAUGUGGCAAGUAGCAUAUUCUUAGGGAAGUAGUUUGGGAAGGACCUUUCAUAGCUGGGGUUAGUUAGGAUUGGAAACGGCAUGUCAGAUGUGAAAACUGAGAAUAGUAUAGGUGCUAGGUUUCCACCUUGGGGCACUCCAGCUGUUAUUUUGCAUGUUUUUGAUGUAGUUCCGUUGCCUAGCUUUACACAGAAUGUUCUGUUCUGUAGGUAGUUUUCUAGGACGUUGAA